GCGGGGCUAGCUCAAUUGGAUAGAGCGCCUGACUACGAAUCAGGAGGUUAGGGGUUCAAGUCCCUUGUCCCGUA
rnacentral:tRNA from 1 species